rnacentral:rRNA from 1 species
UACGAAGGGGGCUAGCGUUGUUCGGAAUUACUGGGCGUAAAGCGCGCGUAGGCGGUCUUCCAAGUCAGUGGUGAAAGCCCGGAGCUCAACUCCGGAACUGCCAUUGAAACUGUUGGACUUGAGUACGAGAGAGGUGAGUGGAAUUCCCAGUGUAGAGGUGAAAUUCGUAGAUAUUGGGAAGAACACCGGUGGCGAAGGCGGCUCACUGGCUCGUAACUGACGCUCAGGCGCGACAGCGUGGGGAUCAAACAGG